CUCCUAUGCACCCUCUUUCCAUAGGUGAUGAGUCACAGGGCUCAGGGAAUGUGUCUGCACCUGUGACUCAUCACCAGUGGAAAGCCCAUCCCAUAU
ensembl:miRNA